rnacentral:lncRNA from 10 species
CUUGAGGGCAGAGACUUUGACCUAUUUAUUGCUGUGCCCUUGUGCCCAGAAGAGUGCUUGACAUAAAGGAAGAGAUGAGGAAUGACACUUGGAAGGUUCUUGCAUUGCUACUCAAUAUUUGCAGUGACUUUGAUACCAAUUGCUCCUAAAUGCCUCUCUGAAUUCAGUCAUUCAGCUGUGCUGCUUUUAUUGAGCAUCUUUGGUCUACCGUGUUCCAGGAGGGUGCUUGAUGGGUGUUGUGGGCUGAGUCACCACAACAGCUGGUUUUGGUCACCUCAUGGGUCUCUGCCACCACCACUGAAGGAGCCAGGGGCCACUGUUGCCAUUGCCUCUUCUAGAAACCACAGGCCUGCUGUUAACUAUGCUGUGAGUUCUGACAGGUAUGGGACCUUAGAGUGAAAUGAACUGUGUCUCAAAGUAUUAGAGGCAUUCAUGGAAGAGGUCCACCAGUAUCACAUGCCCACAUGCUCACUGAUUCUCUACACUGCCAGGAUCGCAGACAUACAGUGUACUUAAGGAGCUGUGCCUGAACACAGCUCACCAGUUCAGAGUCCUUCUUCCCUUGUGGUGAGUUCCUUCUUAGAGGCUCCAUAAUCCUUUUCUGUAACCUAACCUCAGACUACGGGCACUUGCAUACAUCAGACCUAUUUUUAUGUUCUUGAAUCUAAAUGAGGAUCAACGUUCCAGUCCUUUUUUUUUUUUUCCAGUCCGUUUUUACCCCUGGGAGAAUCCUGAUUUUUAACAUAAUUUGGUAUAUGCAAAUAGAUAUAAAGGGACUCUUCUUAUCUCUAUUUGCUGUGGAAAUAGAGGCACUAAUGUAAGCAGAUAUUCUGAGGGGUGGGUUCAGGAAGCAUGCCAGUGGUGCGAGGCUGGGGAUGGAUGUUUUCUGCUCUUCUCAGCCACACUGGAACCCCAGUUCUUGCCUAGCCAAAAUAUGCUGCUAGUCUUGCUUAGCAAUAGACACUUAGCCUUAAAAAUUUUUUAUCCAAUGACUUUUCCUUCGCUCUCAUGUUUCAUAACCUUUUCCUAGUUUCUGGCACUGCUGACAUACCUACGUCUUGGAUUUCUCCUCCCCUGCUUGCUAAUCCUGUACCACUGGCUUUCUGUUGGUUUGCUUUCUCACUACUCUUUCUCUUGUUCCCAGUGGUGACUCCUUCUCCUGCCUUUUAACUGAAGGCUUUCACCGAGGCUCUAUUCCCAUUUUCUGAGAUGAGGGCUCACUAUGUUGCCCAGGCUGGUCUCAAACUCCUGGGCUCAAGGGAUCCUCCGGGCACAGUCUCCUCAGUAGCUGGG